rnacentral:lncRNA from 1 species
UGGUUCCUUAGGUCAUAUUUGAUGGCCCCGAAUAAUUUUAUGCGAUCGGGGACUGGGGGCCCGGACCCACUAGGAAUGCGUGGGCUAUAGCACACGAAUAUAUGGGAAUCGUGCGGAAUUCUAGUUUUUUGGCCGUAAAAUGCAAAACAACGAGGAACGGUCAUGGAGGGGCGGUGACUAUGGUUCCUUAGGUCGUAUUUUAUGGUUUGGAAAAAUGUUAGGCAAUCCGAUUUCGUGGGACUCGGGCCCACUCGGAAGGCGUGGGCUCUGCUCACGAAAAUAUGAGAAUCGGGCGGAAUUCUAGUUUUUUGGUCCUAAAAAGCAAAUCAAUGAGGAACAGUCAUGGUGGGGCAGUGAAUAUGGUUCCUUAGGUCAUAUUUGAUGGC